AGUGAACGCUGGCGGUAGGCCUAACACAUGCAAGUCGAACGGCAGCACAGUAAGAGCUUGCUCUUACGGGUGGCGAGUGGCGGACGGGUGCGGAAUACAUCGGAAUCUACUUUUUCGUGGGGGAUAACGUAGGGAAAUUUACGCUAAUACCGCAUACGACCUACGGGUGAAAGCAGGGGAUCUUCGGACCUUGCGCGAUUGAAUGAGCCGAUGUCGGAUUAGCUAGUUGGCGGGGUAAAGGCCCACCAAGGCGACGAUCCGUAGCUGGUCUGAGAGGAUGAUCCGCCACACUGGAACUGAGACACGGUCCAGACUCCUACGGGAAGCAACAGUGGGGAAUAUUUGACGAUGGGCGCAAGCCUGAUCCAGCCCUACCGCGUGGGUGAAGAAGGCCUUCGGGUUUUAAAGCCCUUUUGUUGGGAAAGAAAAGCAGCAGGUUAAUACCCCGCUGUUCUGACGGUACCCAAAGAAUAAGCACCGGCUAACUUCGUG
rnacentral:rRNA from 1 species